rnacentral:rRNA from 1 species
GACGAACGCUGGCGGCGUGCUUAACACAUGCAAGUCGAACGGAAAGGCCCCUUUGGGGGUACUCGAGUGGCGAACGGGUGAGUAACACGUGAGUAACCUGCCCUUGACUUCGGGAUAACUUCAGGAAACUGGGGCUAAUACCGGAUAGGAAUCCUUGCUGCAUGGUGGGGGUUGGAAAGCUUCGGCGGUUUUGGAUGGACUCGCGGCGUAUCAGCUUGUUGGUGGGGUAGUGGCUUACCAAGGCUUUGACGGGUAGCCGGCCUGAGAGGGCGACCGGCCACAUUGGGACUGAGAUACGGCCCAGACUCCUACGGGAGGCAGCAGGGGGGAAUAUUGCACAAUGGGCGGAAGCCUGAUGCAGCAACGCCGCGUGCGGGAUGACGGCCUUCGGGUUGUAAACCGCUUUCAGCAGGGGCGAAGCUUGUGGUGACGGUACCUGCAGAAGAAGCACCGGCUAACUACGUG